UGGCAUGUCUCCAUCUUUCAAGGUGACUGAG
rnacentral:piRNA from 1 species